rnacentral:ncRNA from 1 species
CAAAGGCUUGGUCCUGACUUUCCUAUCAGCUCUAGCCAGACUUACACAUGCAAGUAUCCGCGCCCCUGUGAGAAUGCCCCACAGUUCCCUGUUUGGGAACAAGGAGCUGGUAUCAGGCCCACAAUUUUGCCCCCGCCCAUGACACCUUGCUUAGCCACACCCUCAAGGGAAUUCAGCAGUGAUAAACAUUAAACCAUAAGUGAAAACUUGACUUAGUUAAGGCUAGAUAAGGCCGGUAAAACUCGUGCCAGCCACCGCGGUUAUACGAGAGGCCUAAGUUGAUAGGUGCCGGCGUAAAGAGUGGUUAGGGAUAACAUAAACUAAAGCCGAACGCUUUCAAAGCCGUUAUACGCUUACGAGAGUAAGAAGCCCCCCCCACGAAAGUGGCUUUAACCCUCCUGACCCCACGAAAGCUGAGGAACAAACUGGGAUUAGAUACCCCACUAUGCUCAGCCGUAAACUUUGAUAAACUUCUACACCCACUAUCCGCCAGGGAAUUACGAGCAUCAGCUUAAAACCCAAAGGACUUGGCGGUGCUUUAGACCCACCUAGAGGAGCCUGUUCUAGAACCGAUAACCCCCGUUAAACCUCACCCUCCCUUGUUCCUCCCGCCUAUAUACCGCCGUCGUCAGCUUACCCUGUGAAGGCCCUAUAGUAAGCAGAGUCAGUAUAACUCAAAACGCCAGGUCGAGGUGUAGCAUAUGAGAGGGGAAGAAAUGGGCUACAUUCCCUAAUGCAGGGCAUACGGACAAUGUAAUGAAAUGUACAUUAGAAGGAGGAUUUAGCAGUAAGCAGAAAAUAGAGUGUUUUGCUGAAACUGGCCCUGAAGCGCGCACACACCGCCCGUCACUCUCCCCAAACACUUUACGUUUAUAACUUAAAAAGCUACUUGUACAAAGGGGAGGCAAGUCGUAACAUGGUAAGUGUACCGGAAGGUGCACUUGGAGAAC